UGAAAGGAUAUCGAUAUUUUGAUGAUUAUUUCGAGUUUCUCUAAAUGUGCGAACUAAAUGUUACCUAUAUUGAAUGACAAACUACAUGUACGUGUAUCAUCAAAGGUUUUAAGUUUACUAAACUUGGCAGUAGAAAAGAAUAAAAUAAGACUUUACUGUUAAAUCUUUUAGCAAGUACUUAGAGUGUACGGGUAUAUACAUAAGUAAUAGGUUUAUAUUCUUCUUUACUCAUUUCCGCUGCUUAAAUAUAGGUAUUUGACAUAAGACAUAGGGAAGUUUAGAAAAGAUCAGUAUACAAACAUGUACAGGAUUUAAAUGGAGUCAAAACGGAAUUUCAAGUGAAAAAGGAUUUAAAAGUGAAACGCCUAAUAAUAAUUAGCUGAAGGUGGAAACGGUCAAAAUGAUAGCGGAAGUGCACUGCCAUCAUCAAAUGUGGAGAAUAGUGAUUCUUGUAGCUCAUAAGAAAUACUCUACGGUCCACACUGGAACUAACGUGUACUGCUGAAAUUUGAAGAAACAUAGUCUUGACCCCAGUAAAGACACCCCUGGUGGUCCGGUUGCCAGUCGGAUGGUUUCCGAAGGAUACUCCCUCGGCAUCUGGUGCCCUUUGGCUUCUACCCUCUGGACACCGUCCGAUAUUCUUAAGGUAAAAAAGUUCAUUUGCCCCGCGUAAUUCGGCCUACACGGUAUGCAUCGGACAAAAGCCGUGUGAUACUAGUAUCCGGUCAGCUAUCCGGUCCCCCUUGGUUAUCCGGGAUAAUUAACACACGACUUCUAUUUCAUACAGGGGCAGAAGGGGGUAUAUAAACAUCUCACCAUCAUCCUCUUCGUAAUUGAUAGAUCCCUAUUCUGACAUUUUAUUUGAAUAACAGUACAUUUAACAACAAAGAUUGAUGUGUGCCCUUAUGUAAACAAAUUUAUUAUGGUGAAAUUCUUACCGUGUCCACUAAUGUGAUAAUUAGAAAGACAGGCUAUGAACCUAUGCAUAGGAUGAAAUAGUAUGAAAAAUCUUCCAAGCUUUCAUACGCCUGCAACUUGCAGAAGGUCGUAGGCGUCACAAUGCUAUAUUGACUGCAUUAAUUGUUGAAGAAAAGAGGGUGAUGAGACGGUAUACUUUUCCCUUCUUUCUUGAAAUAUAUAACACUUUAGAAAGAAUAUGUUUUUUCUUUAACAAGUUGUUAAAUAAAGCGUGAAAAGUCUAAGAAACUUCUCAUGAGUGGGAAAAGGCAGAACUGUGAAUGAGAGAAUGACUGUCACCAGGUCUGUUUACACCCCUACGCUAUCCUUAAGGUAUCCAUCCUGGCACAGGACGGCGUUCAUCCGGGACCAGGUCAGUGAUUAUUUGGAGCCUAGUGUGUGAAAAUGGUUACCGGCUUGCAGCCGAUUCCAAUAGGUGUCCCGCCGGGUAUCGGAGUUUUUUUUUAGUUUAAUAAUAUUUUAUUGCAUAUAUAAAUAUACAUCAAUUCAUUUACAUUAACAAAAUUUCACAAUAUACAAAAGGGUUGGGCCAAAAGUUUUUACAACAUUAUCGUGGACCCUUCCCUGUAAAUGAUUAACAUCAGUUUCAUAAAGUAAAGAAAGUUAUACAUUAAAGUAAAUAUGCAUUAAGUAACAAUACAUUUUCAUUUUAAGAAG